GAGGAGCUUGAAAAACAGGGAUCUGUGCGUACUAUAUGAUGCUCCAAGAAGAAGGUGAGCAUGCCAGGAAAGACUUAGGUGAGGGUUUAGGAGAUGUUGUGUCAAUUAUUCUUUGAACUCCUCUUUCCAUGGUUUGUUCUGUACUUGAAACUAUCAGCCAUCUUAGAAACAUUAUUGGUGGUAAAACUUUUAUUGGCAUACAACACUUUACUCUGGCGAGAAUUGUUUGUGAGUUAUCAAACAGUCUUAUGCUUAAACAGAUAUGUAGUGAUUGAGUUACAUCUCAUUGUGAUUUAUUUAUUUUCCUUUUAGUUGUUAAACUUAUGCUGGUUGUCUCCUAAAGAACCUUUAAAUCUAUAUGGUAUACUUUUAUAGUUUGCAGUAUCAGAGAACCAAACUUAACAUGAUUAUCUAAAUGUUCUUUUUUUCUGAGAAUAAAUAAUAUCUUGUUGAUUUGAUAAAAAAAGAAUAACAUCAUGCUAGACAUCUCAAUUUCAAGACCUUGCUGCAGUUUAUAUCAACUAUAUCGCCAUGCUGGACUUUGGGAAAAUUGUUGAGUCUAAUGUAGGGGAAUUUGCAUCUCAGUUUCUCAAUUUUAGUUGGCCAAAAAAUUUGUUUGGGGUGUGCUAAGGAUGUAUUUGCAUCAGUUGAUCAGUGUUCUUAUUAAGCUGUUGUACAGGGAAACAUCAUAUACAAUUGUUAAUGUUUGAGUACAAAUUAAGGUAGAUCCAAUCUUUCGGGGUUUUUUUCUUCCGGAAGGAGUCUCUAUUGAGGAUGGUAAUUCCUUCCUCAUGUCAAAUUAGAUUACACUAACAAUUUUGUUUUUGCACCUCAACAAAGGUGUCAGCUGUUUGUAUUUAUGUCCAUCAGGUGAUUCGUCCAAACACUCAUCUCCGGAGUUCAAGAUCUAUUUAUUUUCUUUUCUUUCCUGUAGAUGAUAUCUAUCUUCUUUGCUUGUGUAGAAUAAAAAAGCAGGAAGGUAGUAAAAUGAUGGUUUGAUACAUGAUAGAUUUCAUAUAGAGGGUGCAAGAGCUACACUUUAACUUGGUAGCAGAAAGCUUAGGUUAUACUAUCUUGUUAGAGUUUUGCCUUCAAAAAAACAAGUAUCUUACCAUGAAUCCAAAAUUUCUUUCAAGCUGAGUUUUCUUGAUUGCUUUUUCGAUACAAAUGUUGAUAAGAGGGUACCAGCCUCUUCUAUAAUUUUUCAUAUGCUUGUUCUCUUUCACUCUAUCAUUUGUUCAUCAUAAGAUUAUUUAUAUUUUGGAGUCCUUGAUAUGGCUGUGAGUUAAGAAUAGAGACAGGGCAAUCAAAUAGAUCCUUCAUUAUAUGUUUUACCUUGUUUCUCCUGCAGGUAACUCAACUUUUGUCGUUUGUUGAUGUAGGCUUUUAGUUUGUAUAAGAGAAGUUUUACAAUGCCCUUUGAAACUUGCCUUUUUUUCCCCUUCUUUUCAGAGGAGGAGCUCGCUAAUUGUUGGGAAAAAAGAAUAAUUGUUUAUGGAUCUACAUUCGUUGUUGUUCAUCGUAGCAAAGUAUGGAUCAAUCCGAAGGUUCUCUUGUGUUAAUGCUGGUAGGCUACUAGAUGUAUUUUACAUUAUGGAUCAUCGCUUGCCAAGACUUGUAGUGUACCUAGCGAGCUUGGGAUUAACAUAUAGAAUCUGGCAUAAUUGGCAUAACUGCAUAAUCAGUAGCCACCAAAAGAGAGGGAGAAGAGAAAAUCCUACUUUAUCAUCAAGCAUUGGGUCCGAAUGGAUUUUUCAGUGUGGCAGUUUAAGGGCAGUGCAGUUUUGGACAAGGGCCAUUGGUGUUGUCAAUACAGUAUUGCAAUGGAGGGUUCUCUGUCUUGGAGUGUUCAUACUUUUAGCCUUGUAGAAUUCUCUCCAUCCAUGCACAGUUGGCACAUGUGGCUCUUGGGUGGUAUCUUCUUCCUGUACAUAAAUCUGAUGGCAUGUGGCACAACUUUGGAACUCAAGAAUGCACUAGUAUGUCUGUGAAGAUAUAACUCCUAUUUGUGCCUUUGAGGGAAGGUCAGUAAAGCCCUGCUGAAAUUCAUGAUCGCUUUAGCUAUGCUAGAUUGUACCCAAUGUGCAACAGUCAAACUUUUAUUGCCUCAUGAGGCCUAGGUUAGAGAGAACUUGCUGCUUUCUUGAUAAGUUGGUAGUCUAGCUUUUGAGCACGCUUAUAAUCAGAAUACAUUGCCAUUCUGAAUUAAAUAACAUAAGAGAGUUUUUAGUUGAUACUUAUAGUCGUAAUGGCAGAGAACACUUGUUGUUAGGUAAUUGAUGGAUAUUGAUUGAGCAAGAGCCUCGAGUUUGCUAAUUUUAUUUUUAUUAUUGCCUGGAGUGGAGUAUGAGUUGAUUUUAUUCUCUAAUUGAUUUGGAAUAUUUUUCCAUCCCACCAAUGCCAAAUCAGACUAUAUCGAGCAUUCAUUAUUGCAUUCUGAAAAAUUAGAGUGUAUUGUAAAUCUGAUGUUUUUCUUCUAGUCUGAAGUUUUUCAAGCGGUCAUUCAUUUUGUGUAACAUAAUUUUGCUAGCCUGUUCAACCAGUGCUUCCAUACUAAUGUCCACAAUGGCAAAACUAUCACGCAUGCAAUAGCAGGAACAUCGCUAGUGCCCUGUGAUGACUGAUGACCUUGCGUUGCAUGGGCCUCUCAAUCAUUCUUUGGUGUGUGUCCAUUAGGGAUGCAAACAGGAUCCCGCGAAAGUCCUGCUUCUAGUUCAAUUCUCAAAUCUCCUAUUCAAAUUCUGAACAAAAUUUUGAAUAGAAGAUUUGAAAAAUGAACUAGAAGCGGGACUUUUGCGGGAUCCUGUUUGCACCCGUAGUGUCCAUUAUCUCCUCAUCCCCUUGGCAUUAUUAUGACUGGAAUAUGAAAACUUCUUUGUACUGGAGUUAAACUCUUAUUUAGCUUUGCAACCUAGAUUUCAUAUUUGCUCAUUUCUUUGAACUACCCUACCAAGCUCCACAUAAGCUUUCCACAAACAGAUGUAGAUAGGGAAACACUUCCAUCCCUGACUAGAAAGGAAUAUUUUGUGUGAGAGAGUAAUUCGAAAUCAUGAUGAUGUAAUUUCACUUAAGACUUGCUCUUGGAAGGUUAACAAGGGAAUAAAAUUGUUGGGUACUCUUGUUUUCUAUUGUUCUUGACAUUGAAGUCGAACAACCUAGUGACUUAGUGUUAAAAAACUUUGAAAGCUAUAUUGUUGAUGCUAUUCACUCCCAUAAAAUGAAACCAAUUCUCUUGGCAAUGAAUAAAGUUGUUUUCUAAGCUUGUGCUCAAUUGUUAGCAUGCUACUUUGAUAAGUUUGUGGAAAGUCUCUCGACCCGAAGUUUAUGUGGGAUUUAAUAAUUGUUUGCACAUAAACACUUGUUUGCAAUCUCCAUGCUAAGCUUUCAGGCAAUUUACAAGCGCGUGGGCAAGUUGAAUCAGGAGCUCAGGUCCUAUAAUGAAAUUUGGUCUGCCAUUUACCGCGGGUUGAGAUUUUUUUUUACUUGAGGUAGUCAACAAAGAGAAGUUUCAGAUAAACUGUAUAUACCUUGUAUUUCUCUUGGUAGCCACUUUCUUUCUUCCCGAGGAUAUGUAAUGAAGAGAAAAUGGGUUGCUUCUGUAGUAGUUUUCCUACAAAUGGUACAAAAGCAGACAAAUUAUUUCAUUCAUUCUUCUCAAUAUGGGCAUCUUGUAAAAAUCUUUUCAAUAUUCGAUCUGACUCAUGUCAUUUGUCGGAAUAAUUCUAAUAAUAAGUUGUCUAGCGUCA